AAAGAAUGAUAAUCUGCUUUCACCUGUGGCCGGAGUAAAUGGAAAAAUUCUUCUGCGUGCCAGGUUAGCUGAACUAGGAAUUCAGACCCACAGCAUAAUGGCAAUCAGAACGGCAGAGCUGGAACAAGCCUGUUUCAGGCACUCGAUGUUGGUGCUUGAAGGGAGGUGAGCUGUGCAGUCCACGCGUCUCUAGGAUGGCCACA